UAACACAAUACUCCAGAGAGAAUGAGUUUUAGCAGACUGCUAAACGACCAGCACAGUGUCAUAGUUUUCACUAAAUAAGGACUGACAUCUUAAGGAUAGCUGACUUUAUCUAAACAAGGCUUUAUCACAGUAUCGUACAAUCGGAAGAUAGCCUGUUAAACAGUGGUACAUUCCCACUAGGCCAUCUUCCGGCGUAACUUCCACGGUGCAGCUUCCUUUGCAGACCAGAGAGAGCAGCAGAGGUUUCGUCCUCCAGCUAACAGCUACCAUGGCGUCAACCGAGAUAGCAAGGCAAGCGGGUGAAGGUGCUCGUGCUGUCCCUCUGGCAGGCCAUGUCGGCUUCGACAGCAUGCCUGACCAGCUGGUCAACAAGUCUGUCAACCACGGAUUCUGCUUCAACAUCCUCUGUGUUGGCGAGACAGGUCUGGGGAAGUCCACACUCAUGGACACGUUGUUCAACACCAAGUUCGAGGGCGAGCCCACCCAGCACAACCAGCCGGGAGUCACGCUCAAGUCCAACACCUAUGAGCUCCAGGAGAGUAACGUGCGCCUUAAACUCACCGUCGUCAACACCGUGGGAUUCGGAGACCAGAUCAAUAAAGAAGACAGCUACAAGUCUAUCGUGGAGUUCAUUGAUGCCCAGUUUGAAGCAUAUCUACAAGAGGAGCUGAAAAUCAAGCGCACGCUACACAGCUACCACGACACCCGCAUCCACGCAUGCCUCUAUUUCAUCGCUCCCACAGGACACUCACUUAAAUCCCUGGACUUGGUUACCAUGAAGAAACUUGACAGCAAGGUUAAUAUUAUUCCAAUCGUUGCCAAGUCGGACGCCAUCUCCAAGAGCGAGCUGGCCAAGUUCAAAAUCAAAAUCACCAGUGAGCUGGUCAGCAACGGCGUGCAGAUCUAUCAGUUCCCCACUGACGACGAGUCUGUGGCAGAGAUCAACUCCACCAUGAACAGCCAUUUGCCAUUUGCCGUGGUGGGGAGCACAGAGGAAGUGAAGAUUGGGAACAAGAUGGUGAAGGCCCGGCAGUACCCCUGGGGGACCGUGCAGGUUGAAAAUGAGAAUCACUGUGACUUCGUCAAGCUGCGAGAAAUGCUGAUCAGAGUGAACAUGGAGGACCUGCGAGAGCAGACUCACACGCGUCAUUAUGAGCUCUAUCGCCGCUGCAAACUGGAGGAGAUGGGCUUUAAAGACACAGACCCUGACAGCAAGCCCUUCAGUCUUCAGGAAACAUAUGAAGCUAAGAGGAACGAGUUCAUGGGUGAGCUGCAGAAGAAAGAAGAAGAAAUGAGGCAAAUGUUUGUCCAAAGAGUCAAAGAGAAGGAGGCCGAGCUCAAAGAAGCAGAGAAAGAGCUGCAUGAGAAGUUUGACCGUCUGAAGAAGCUCCACCAGGAUGAGAAAAAGAAACUGGAGGACAAGAAGAAGUCCCUGGACGACGAGCUCAACAUGUUCAAACAGAAAAAGACUGCUGCAGAGCUUUUGCAGAACCAAGCCCAGCAGGCAGGGGGCUCCACCACACUUAAGAGGGACAAAGAGAGGAAAAACUGAUGUGAUGCCGUGCCUGUUAGAAAAGGAAGAAGACAUUUGCACUGAGAAGGUUUUUGUUGCUUUAUUUUCUUCCCUUUUUAAUCUUUUUUCUUCACAGCCACUUCUUCUCUUUAUAAGCUCUGUCUGCAAAGUUUUUCCUCCAAAAAGGGGCCGCUGUGCAACUUUAGCUUUGUCUGUGGAUCACUAAUUAAAACCGACUAGAGAGGUCUAAGUGUAAACAAGGAUUAACUGUCAGUGUUUUCUUCAGUUCCUGGACGACACAGUAAUUGAUUGCUGCUUGUUGUGUAGAUGUGAAUCUGUCCUGUGAGUGCAUGUUUCACCUAUGUUGCAUCCAUAAUGUUUUCCAGUUAACUCCUCCCACAUUUUCUGCAUGCUGCAUGGGGCAUCUUUUCUGCUUAGGAUUCCUGUAGAAAAAGUGCUUCCUUGUGGCCAUCCUGCUGUGAAUGAAUUUCCACCCCAUCAUCCUUUUACAGUACCCCAUCCCCACCCUCACCCAACCCCCAUAAUUCAACCCUCCACAAGCCCCCCUGCUCUCUGGAAGAUGCUGGGCAUUGCUGUCAGUUUGACAUCACUUUUUUUUUUGUUUUCUUUUGCUGAAUGAUGCUUGUAUGUUAUAUGGGUUGUACAAGCAAUUAUUCGCCAUGCCUUUUUAUACAAAUUUACAAAUUAAUGCAUUCCACGUUUGUUUUAUAUUAAGUGAUUAAUUGCAUGAUGGAGUGAGCUUUUUUAAAAUAUUAACAUACAUGACUACUGUUGUGAUGGGCAGAAAUGUGUUGAGGGUAAAGUGAAACAUGCAUCAGAUGCUGGCACCUGAGUAUGCAUGUGUUCAAAGAUCUGCAGUAGAUUACAGAGAAGAAAGAAUUAAGAUAGUUGAGGACUAAUGUGAGGAUGGAUUAAGUUAAUGAUCUACUGUAUCUUCAGAUUAAAGGACAGUGAUGAAUACAUGGCGUUUCCUGUGACCGCUUCACAAUAAAGGCCACCCUGUGUUUCGCCAGUUGAACACUUUUAAAGUGAAGCCGCAGCAGUGGGAAAGUAGCUGUAACUUAAUACAGCUCUGAUCCAUCUGUAAAGAGUGAAACUGAUAUCAAUAUGAUAAAAUUACAGUAAAGCUGGAUUACAUGCAUCUUUUUCUGCUGAGUGCGUGUAAGGGCAAAAUGAAUCGACAUUGGGAAUGGCAGACCCCGCCACUAACAAUGUAGACUAUGAUUACAGAAUUUAAAAACAGUCAAUGACCGUUGCAGACCAUAUGUAAUAUCAACAAGGGGAUUUGAUUUCAUGAUAUUCACUGAUUAUUACCUCAACCAUAUAGGCUUACAAUAAGAAUUGAAUUUGAGACUUGUUUUUGGUAUUUAUGUCCCUUUGCUGAUGCUGUUUCACUUUAGCCAGAUGCAUGAGUAGUUGUUAGCCUAAUCUCUUUGCCACUUCUCCCAUACCUCAUUCAUUGUCAUGCGUAAUGUGCAUACUUGUAUUAGCUUUCACAUUGGCACUUUUUUUUUUAUACACAAAUGUGAUGUUUUCUAAUUACAUAUUAAUGUCAGUGCAAUUGUAACUUUCUUUUUUUAUUUUAUUUACUAUCAAGGCACAUUUGAAAGUAAUCAUGAUGUCCUGCAGGGACCCGUGUUUGUAUCAGUGUUACACAUAAAAUAAAUAUUCUCUCAAAAGAAAAUAAAGGCCAAUUUUUCACCAAA